rnacentral:rRNA from 1 species
UACGAAGGGUGCUAGCGUUGCUCGGAAUCACUGGGCGUAAAGGGUGCGUAGGCGGGUCUUUAAGUCAGGGGUGAAAUCCUGGAGCUCAACUCCAGAACUGCCUUUGAUACUGAAGAGCUUGAGUUCGGGAGAGGUGAGUGGAACUGCGAGUGUAGAGGUGAAAUUCGUAGAUAUUCGCAAGAACACCAGUGGCGAAGGCGGCUCACUGGCCCGAUACUGACGCUGAGGCACGAAAGCGUGGGGAGCAAACAGG